UCCUUGAAAAAAAAAACAUGUCCCUCCAUUACUAAUGGGAAACACUUAUAAUCUGUAGUCUGAUCAGAAGCAGUGCGUUAGACCGAUUGACUACCGUUGAUCCGGUUGUAAUCUUCCGGUUAGGAUACUACUUCUUAUCCCGUCUCCUCUCCUUGAAAAAAAAAUGUCCCUCCAUUACUAAUCCCUGGAUCUACCGCAUCCCCUAAUCAGCCGCGCGGAAUUCCUCCCAAAAUUUCUCUCACAUGCAUUUCCACCAAGAUCGCCGUCAACGGGACUGCUCCUUCAUCUUUGUUUGCGCUACCCACCAUGUGCAGUUGCAGGUGCGACAUCCUCUUGUUUUGUUCUUCUUGGUUGGUGCUUUCACGGGUUACCAAGAGGCUGAAUCGGCCGUCGUAGUAGCACCAGCCGGCUGGAGAACAAGCAGUGCCCUAUGUCAACCUCAGCCAUGCUUCCUGUUUCUACACAAUGUCAAAGAGGCUAUGUUGGUGACAAGUGAUGGGAAUAGGACCUGCUACAGC